rnacentral:tRNA from 1 species
UAUCCGUACCGGAAGGUGCGGAUGGAUCACCUCCUAACAGGGAGACAACACAAUGAUUUUGAUGCCUGAGUAUUUUUAUUCUUAGGCCGAAGUCCUGUCACCUUAGGUCGAUCGGUACCUCAGCUUUGAAGUUAAGAAUCAGCAGCAAUGUUGAUUGCUUGAUGGAGAUUUUCAGUUCCUAAACUUUGUCUAGGUCACACCCCAAAAGGGAUGAGACUCCUGGGCCAUUAGCUCAGGUGGUUAGAGCGCACCCCUGAUAAGGGUGAGGUCCCUGGUUCAAGUCCAGGAUGGCCCAUUCGGUGUUGGGGGUUUAGCUCAGUUGGUAGAGCGCCUGCUUUGCAAGCAGGAUGUCAGGAGUUCGAGUCUCCUAACCUCCACUGACCGAACUUUAUCCCCAUCUCCAAGUUAUUGGAGUUGAGCUCGAUUGGAGUGUGAUUUAGAUUUGUCCGCUGGAUGACCCCAGCUUCCUGUCAUUCCAAGUUUUAAGUUUAAAGCUUUGAAUUUGGUUGAUAAGAUGCUGGGCUCGGAUCAAAUGAUCAAGUAAUUGAUGAUUUGAUUUGAAGUUCUAGCAGAACCUUGACAACUGCAUAGGUGAAGUCUGGAAAAACAAAGCAUCUUACAGAU